AGAAUCAACGCUGGCGGCGUGCCUAACACAUGCAAGUCGAACGAGAAAGUGGAGCAAUCCAUGAGUAAAGUGGCGCACGGGUGAGUAACACGUGACUAACCUACCCUGGAGUGGGGAAUAACUGAGGGAAACCUUAGCUAAUACCGCAUAAUACCUACGGGUCAAAGGAGCAAUUCGCUUCAGGAGGGGGUCGCGGCCGAUUAGCUAGUUGGCGGGGUAAUGGCCCACCAAGGCAAUGAUCGGUA
rnacentral:rRNA from 1 species